GUUGGAUUUUCCCAGCUGCUCCUGAACGCAUCAUCUCACUCUUCCGUCCUUUUGACUUUACGUCUCAUGGGGUCAUCGGACCCUAUGAGACGGCAUAGAUCCUAUCUGCCUGAUGGAUCGUCUGGGUCGUGGAAUUCCUGCUCAUGACUACGCCACUGUCCUGUUGAGACUCCGCCACUCCUCCUCCCCACCGCCAUCUGCCUGAUGGAUCGUGGAGGUCUCCAUCGUGGAAUAUGCCUACUAUGAACUAUUCAUACACUCUGUCAUAUUCAUUGAAUGUAUUUUAACUCUAAAUCUGUCCUUCUGUACACAUUACAUCUAUUGCAUCUGUCCAUCCUAGGAGAGGGAUCCUCCUCUGUUGCUCUCCUCCAGGUUUCUUCCCUUUUUUUCCCCCUGAAGGGUUAUUUGGGAGUUUUUCCUGGUCCGAUGUGAGGUUUUGGGGCAGGGAUGUCUAUGUGUACAGAUUGUAAAGCACUCCGAGACAAAUUUGUAAUUUGUGAAAUUGGGCUAUACAAAUAAACUGAAUUGAAUUGAAUUGAA